AUGAUAGGAGAGGGUUCCCGUCCAACCUGUAAGGUAGGAGAGGUAACAGGUGCAUCUGCCAGAGAAAAAGCUUUCCAGGCAGAGGUCCCUCCCUGCAGGAGUUCACAUGGGGCCCAGAGGAACAGCCCAAGAGACAAGAACCAUAAAGACUUGAGGAAACUUCUCCUCUUCCCACUGGGCAGCCUGCAACCACCCAGGGCCUGGCCUGGUUUUUCCAGUUGGACCAGAAACGCCUGCUGAGGUACAUUAACCCCUGGGGCUCAUGAGCAUCCUCCUUUGGGCCUGAAGGAGAGGAUAUUUCCUUGCACGCAUCUUGGCUGCCCCUGCAAAUGUCAGCCUCUGACCCUCACUGGGUAUGUUCAUAUUCACUGGCCGUGCAUCCAGGCAAGGACUGGAGUGUCUAAGUCUGGAUUCCAGGCCCCUAGGUUUGAGCGCACAUUGCCAAUGGCUGAGCCUCUGUUUUGGUCGGUGUUUAUUUCCGUCGAGCAGGGACUUGUGACCUGCCAGUCCUGCCUCACUGCCCCAGCUGUCCCAGGACAUGAUGGAUCAGAAGGCAAUUUUAAAAAGAGAAGAAAGUGCUAAACCAAUGCACAGAACCAAACAUAAAAUUCCAACCAUGGUCGGAAGGACCCAGUAACUGGGCGCAGAUGGGACUGGAUUUUUUUAGGUAUUGGCACAUUCUAGUUCUUCCCUGAAGCAACGGCCUAUUUACACAAGGCCUGAGCAUCUUAUGCUUCUGGAAGAGGGCGGUGCAUAUUUGCAAGAAGCUCUACUAGAGCCAGGCCCGUAUCGUACGGGGGCUGAAGUUUAUCCAUUGUGGGAGGACCCUCUUUAAGAAGUAAGCCACAAAAUUAUAAAAUAUGACACAAAAUUAUAAAUACGACAGCAGCCCAGGAGCAGGUAUCUAUUUAAAAUGAGAAAAGAACCCGCAAUGAAUUAUAAAUGCUCAAAAACCAGCAGUACUGCAACAUCAAACGACCGAAGAAUCUUAAUUCUGUAAUAUUUGAACUACAUUUUCAGGGUGCGUAUGCUUUGCUCACUUCUUAUGACAAUUUAUAAACAGCAUUUCUAAGGAGGGGAUGGAUGGACCCUCUGCCGUUCCCCAUCCUGGAAGCUUCCGUCUCCAGCCCUCUGGAACCCACAAACGUGGGGCGCUGGGCAGCAUCGGAGAACCCGAACCAGCGCUGCGGGUGGUCGGAGCGUCCCUGGAAGCCGUUCCCACCCUUCACAGUUAACCACAAAUGACCUACACAUGACGGCAGACAUCAAAAUGACUCAUCCCAACCGAAAUGUACCCCCAACUCAGCUUCCCCUCAGCACGCGUCCAAAUGUGCCCGCGGCGGCUGUAGCAUCCACAAGAGCCCUGGGAUAAAGCCAACGUGUGGGCAGAAAGAAGCUGUGGUCCUCAGGAUUGCAGUGAAAAUAUUUCACCUUUGCAAUGUUGGCAAAAUGCUGUGACCGCACGGUCGCCGUCCCAGGGCUGCCAGGUGAGCCCCGCUCUGCACUCCACCGCGAGGCUCCAGGACAAAGCCUGGCCUCCUGCAGGGGAGAAUUUUACUAAGUUUUAAACAUAAUAUUGAAAUGUUUAAGAUUGUUCGCAAGUUUAUAAGUCUAGGUUGUUAAAAUGGAAUAAAUGCUCCAAAGGGUUUUGCUUGUCA
rnacentral:lncRNA from 12 species